AAGACGAUACUUUCAGGGAUCAUUUCUAUAGUGUCCAACUAGAGAAGUGCAUUCGAAAGUGUUCGGUCUCGCCAGCCACGAGGAGGAGGUGAAGCGUCCUCUCCUGAGCAGGAAGCAGGCAGGGGGUGCUACUGGGUGGUAGCUGCUCUCCUGUUCUUGAUGACUGUUCUGCCUACUCCUUUGGAGAAGGUCGGAGGGGGAGGGCGCGGUCUGAGUGGU